rnacentral:misc_RNA from 1 species
UUCUUUCUUGCCCUCCUCCACCAUCCACACGUGUGUGUCACACCGCAGAGCGUUGUGUUUGCUUGAUGUCCUCUUUACGCUGUCCCUGUUCGCUUGUGUGUUUGCUUUUGUGUGUGUGUGUGUGCAUGUGUGUGGGUGUGGAGGGGGGGAGGCGCUCUCCUUACUUGCGUAUGUGCGUGCGUUUUCCGUUGCUUUGUGCCUCUGCCUUCCCCUCCCCUCCCCCCACCUCCCUCUAUACUCCAUUUGACCUCAUAUGCACACACGUAUACAUAUAUAUAUAUAUAUAUAUAUGUAUAUAUAUAUCAUGUCCAUGGGCGCGGCCGCAUUAUCCAGUACACACGUACACACAAGUGAUACGCUUCGAUGUAUGUAUGUUUACAUAUGUCUAUGGGUAUGUACAUACAUAUAUAUACACAUAUGCGCAUAUGUAUAUAUGUACGUGUGUGUGGGGGGGGGGAGGGGGGCGACCUCAUUUUUCUCCCUUUCUUUCUUUGUUUUCGUUUUUCUAUGGAAUGAGUAAUGGUUACUUCCUCUCCUCUUUGUUGCCGUGGUCGGUCGACUCGUUUCACUCUUCACCUUUUAGCUUCGUUGCCACCUACCUGUUGUGCGUGUGCGUGUGCGUGCCCCUUUUGACUUGCCUCUCUCCCGCUCUCCCCUCUCCCAAAACCCUCCGUCGCUGUUCCCUCCACCUACAUGCGCUUGAGGUGACGGCACGCGUACGUCUAUGCUGAUGUGAGCCUUGCGGGUGUGGCGGUGCGCGUGUACCAGUUGUAAUGUAUGCUCUCGAAAUAUGUAUGUCGUGAUUGGUUUGUGUUCGCGCACUUUUUUUCGCCCCAACCGUCCCUCUACCCCGUGUCUGCUCCUCCCUCUUGUCGUCCGUGUACUCCCUCCCCUGCGCGUACGCGUGUGUUUCUGUCUGCCUCUCUCGUGUCUCGCUUGUUGUGCGCAGAGUCACCGUUUGUCGGCGCUGCUGAGUGAGCUCACAUACGCCGGGCAUGCCCACAGACAGAUACGUGUUAUUGUGCUGAUCCCUCUCUCUCGAUACGGACAGCUUGUAAGGCUGAGAGCCGACAACAUCGAGAGAAAUCAGCGUGAAGCGCAGUGCGCUUAGUGCUCCCAUCUCUUUCUCUCCAUGCAUCUGACACCUUUUCGAGCGCAACAAAAAAAUGCGAGCGGGAUGUGCAGGUGGUGGUUGAACCGGCAGUAGCGCUGAAGACGUGCGAGGGGGGAAAGGCUAGGAAGAGGAAAAGGAGGGCGAAAGAGAGCAAGCAGCAGUCCUUACAGCUCCCCUGCAAUCUUCUUCCCUCCUCAUUGAGAGCCAUCACUCCCCUCUCCCUUCAUCACCAUCACCACGACUACCACCCCUCCUCUUCCUCCCCCGACACUUACCGCGUGCUCUCCGUGUUCAAGUUAUGGCCUUUCGUUUGUUUGUGUUUUCCGUGUUUUAUUCGGGAGGGGGUUCCUCCUGCGCUCUCUUCUCCCUCCCUCAUCCCCCAUCCCCCAUCCCUCGCUUGUGUCAUGGUGCCUCUGUAUUAGGUUGCUGUUGUUGCUGUCCCUCAUCUGCCGCCUUUGCUUUGUGUUCCUUCCCUCUUCGCUUUUGGUGUCGCCCAUGGAUUGCCUCUUUUGUUGUCGACGCAUUCUAUACCUAUGUAUAUAUGAGACUGGCUGUGCGUGAAUGUGGGUAUGUGUGUGUGCGUGUGUGUGUUUAUGGCUGUGUGUAUGGCGGCUGCCGUCUCUCUCUCCUCCUCCUCCCUAGUCUCUCCUCUCAGGGUUUUCGCUCCCUCUCUCUCUUCCUUCCCUCCUUCCUUCCCCUCGCCCCGCAUUCUGAUUGGCCAGCAGGAGUACAACUACGGCGUGUGUUUGCAUUUUUGAUCCCUACUCCACCCCUUUCCCCCUCUCUUUAUCUUUCCCUCUCAGAGUUGUGCUUCCGCUUCCGUUUUUGUUUUGUAUCAUCACUCCCCAUCGUCUGUUCUCCUUCUUGUGCGUAUGUGUGCGUAUGUGUCUGCUUGCUUGGCGCCCUGUAGUUUGCCGCCUGCACCCCACCCCCACCCCCCACCGCUCUUUGUCGAGGUAGAGAGAGAGAAGGGGGAAUACAACGUAUGAAACAAAAAAAAGGGCGCCGAGCUCUCCGCCACACGCGUGUGUGAAGGCUCGCUGCAUCCUCCACUCCCCCACCCCCCCUCCCGUUCACGUCCGCACUCACACACGCAGACUGCAACGCGCAUAAGCGGCAUGUGCGUUUUCUGCGUGCGAGAAGAAAAAAAAAGAAAAAUGAUGCAGUUGGCCAUUGCGUGCAUCGCCUCUUGAUGUGCAUGAGUGUGCCCCCCUCCCCCCCAAACACACCAUCACCACCACCACCACCACUCUCCCCUCCCUCGGCGUUCGUGUCUGUCGUUCUUGUCUCAUCGCAGUUGUCGCCUGCUCGUCCUUUUCCUUUUCGGUUUUGUUUUAUCGUCGCUCACGUGUUUUGCCCGCUUGUCUGUAUGAUUGCUUUGUGUGUAUGUGUGUGUGUGUGUUCCUCACGUGCUUGCUUCUCCACCGCUCCGUUCUUUCCUCACCCCCUCCUCCCUUUGACGCUGUUUCUGCCGGUGGAGUGGGGAAGGGUGCUAUACACCGCUGCGGUCAUCGCUCGUUCUGCGUUGUGUCGUAUUGGUUUUCCCGUGUCUUGUGGCCCCGUGUGUAGCAAGCAGGCAACAGCAGCGGUACAGGUCUGCGCGCCCGCUCGACCUCGGUCUCUUUGUCCUCAUCUCCGUUGUAUUUCUCCGCCUGUG